rnacentral:rRNA from 1 species
AGGAGAGUUUGAUCCUGGCUCAGGACGAACGCUGGCGGCGUGCUUAACACAUGCAAGUCGAACGGACGGACACCCUUCUGGGUGCUAGUUAGUGGCGGACGGGUGAGUAACGCGUGAGUAACCUGCCUUGGAGUGGGGAAUAACACAGGGAAACUUGUGCUAAUACCGCAUAACAUCAUGAGAUGGCAUCUUCUUAUGAUCAAAGAUUUAUUGCUCCAAGAUGGGCUCGCGUCCGAUUACAUAGUUGGCGGGGUAAUAGCCCACCAAGUCGACGAUCGGUAGCCGGACUGAGAGGUUGGCCGGCCACAUUGGGACUGAGACACAGCCCAGACUCCUACGGGAGGCAGCAGUGGGGAAUAUUAGGCAAUGGGGGAAACCCUGACCUAGCGACGCCGCGUGAAGGAUGAAGGUUUUCGGAUUGUAAACUUCUUUGGCAGGGGACGAUAAUGACGGUACCCUGAGAACAAGCCACGGCUAACUACGUGCCAGCAGCCGCGGUAAUACGUAGGUGGCGAGCGUUGUCCGGAUUUACUGGGUGUAAAGGGCGAGUAGGCGGGUUAACAAGUCAGAUGUGAAAUACCGAGGCUCAACUUCGGGGCUGCAUUUGAAACUGUUUGUCUUGAGUGAUGGAGAGGCAGGCGGAAUUCCCAGUGUAGCGGUAAAAUGCAUAGAGAUUGGGAGGAACACCAGUGGCGAAGGCGGCCUGCUGGACAUCAACUGACGCUGAGGAGCGAAAGUGUGGGGAGCAAACAGGAUUAGAUACCCUGGUAGUCCCCU